GACUUGCCCUUCUCCUGUUUGCUUUCUCUGAUUGUCCUUUUUUGCCUUCGUAUUCUUCAAGACCGUGGAGGAAAAAAAAAAGGCCUGAAGUCUUCAAUUUGGUUUUUGAUAUAUUUUCAUCCGUUGUUCUCAUUAUCCUUUUCACUGUUACAACACUCCUUGCUUGUUCUUUCUGUAAUUUUUUAUUUCUCAACUUUUUCUUAAACAUCUUUUCUGCAACUUCGUUUGGGUUACUUGUAUUUUCUGAUUUCUGUUUUUUCUUGUCUCUCCAAUAUUAAAAAAAAAAAGAAAUAAUUAUAGAAGUUCCUGAAUCUGCUGCUUCUGCAUUUUGCAAAAUCUGUUUCCUAAAGUUGUUCCACACACCAUAAAAAGAUAGUCUCGUGCUCGAUCUGUGUUGGAGCACUAAGGAAAGCUGAUUGUUGCUGGGAGAUCUGAGGUUAAUACCUUGAAAUCGCAAAGUUCCACAUCGGCUACUUCUGAUCGAACUAUGGAUCAGGGUGAGUUCUCGCUGUCAUCGGCCGCCGCCGACCCACCACCAGGAACUUUCGACCAUCCAUCGGGCCUCUCGGAGUUUUGGUCAUUGUGGGGCAGUGCUGUUAAAACACUUCAUCUACCUCUUCUUCUCGCUGGCAAGAGGCAAUAACCACUUUUAGAGUCUCCUAGAUCAGUCGUACAUUAAAAAGAGCAUUCGUAUGGAUCUUGCUACUAGUUUUAUUGAAAAGCUUCUAGAUUAUGCAAUAAAUGCUUUGGGACGGCGAUAAGUUUUUCUACCACAACAACGUUGAUGAGCUAAGGAAUCAAAUACAAGAUCUCAAUCAUAAACAAGAAGCUAUGCAACAUUCAAUCGACGAGGCUAGAAGAAACGGUGUGAGAAUUGAAGUGCAAGUUGAAAGUUGGAUGAGUGGAGUGGAUGAGAUAAAAACACAAGCAGAGCAGUUCUUUGAAGAAAAAAGCCAAUCACAAACUAGAUGUAACAGAACUUCAUUCCCAAAUCUGUGUUCAUGCUAUCAAGUGAGUAGAAGAGCAAAGAAAAUGGCACUGAAAGUUGAAAAUCUUGCAAAGAAAUACUUCGAUAGAGUUUCAUAUCUUCCUUCUCCCAAAUGCAAGCACUCAAUAGAUGACAAAAUGAAUGAAGGGCCUGAUUCAAGACUGCUAAUUAUUGAUAAAAUUAUGGAGGCAUUGCCGAAUUCGAGUGUUAAUGUGAUCGGAUUGUGCGGGGUUAGUGACAUGGGCAAGACCACAAUAGCUAAAGAGGUAGAAAAGAAAGUGAUGGAUCAAAACAUAUUUGGAAAGGUGAUCGUGGCAACUGUUUCUGAUGACAUGAGCAUUGUAAACAUUCAAAGCCAGAUUCUGAGAUGUUGGGCAUGCAACUCAAUGAAAAAAAUGUAAAUACAAGAUCUUCUCAUCUAUGUGAGAGGUUGAAGCAUGAAAAGAAUAUGCUCCUAAUAUUGGAUGAUCUUUGGGAGGAACUUGACAUGGGCAAAGUUGGAAUUCCCUCUAUGAGGGAUGAAAAUAAUAACAAAAAGAAUGAAGGUUGCAAACUUUUACUAACUUCAAGAAAUGAAACAAACACUACUUUCAAACCUAAUGAAAUGUGAAAAGAUCAUCAAAGUGGGUGUUUUGUUAGAUAAUAAAGCAUGGGAGUUGUUCAAGAGGAUUGCUGAACUUUCUGUUGAAUCAAGCAAACCUGAUUUGAUAUUUAUAGCCACUAAGAUUGUUCAAAAGUGUGGCGGCUUGCCACUAGCAAUUGCUACAGCUGCAAAAGCAUUGAGAAAUAAAGAUAUGAAUAU